GAUGAACGCUAGCUACAGGCUUAACACAUGCAAGUCGAGGGGAAACGGCAUCGAAAGCUUGCUUUUGAUGGGCGUCGACCGGCGCACGGGUGAGUAACGCGUAUCCAACCUGCCCAUCACUUGGGAAUAACCUUGCGAAAGUAAGACUAAUGCCCAAUGACAUCCCACGAAGGCAUCCGAAUGGGAUUAAAGAUUUAUCGGUGAUGGAUGGGGAUGCGUCUGAUUAGCUUGUUGGCGGGGUGACGGCCCACCAAGGCAACGAUCAGUAGGGGUUCUGAGAGGAAGGUACCCCACAUUGGAACUGCGACACGGUCCAAACUCCUACGCGAGGCAGCAGUGAGGAAUAUUGGUCAAUGGGCGAGAGCCUGAACCAGCCAAGUAGUGUGCAGGAUGACGGCCCUAUGGGUUGUAAACUGCUUUUAUAAGGGAAUAAAGUGGGUCACGUGUGACUUUUUGCAUGUACCUUAUGAAUAAGGACCGGCUAAUUCCGUG
rnacentral:rRNA from 1 species